GGUAAAACAUCAAGUAUGGAGGGAGAAUCCAGUGAUGAAUAUGCAUAUCAGAAUGUGACAGCUGAUAGAACAUACCAAAAUGUGGCUGAGGACAUUGAUACAUAUGAGGAUUUGGCUGAUAGAACAUACCAAAAUGUGGGUGAGGACAUUGAUACAUACGAUGAUGUGGGUGAGAAAUGGUUUGAUAAUAUAAAGCUCUAUUCAAAUGUAAUGAUUAAAUUGUAAAAUGUUCAAACUACAAUGAACUCAAAAAGUAUUUAGACAGUGGCAUAUAUAUUUUUAUUGGGUGGGGGUCUGUUACAGUCUGGAUUUGAAAUGAUACUAUGGAGUUGAAGUGCAGACUUUCCGCUGUAAUUUGAAGGUAUCUUCAAUGAUAUUGAAUGAACCAUUUAGAAAUGAUUGCACACUUUCGAAGUUGCCCCAGUAUGGACGGAUUAACAUUGUGUACUUUCAGUACUUGGCCACAUAUCCUUUGAAUACAUGCCCAAGCUGACUGUGUUAG
ensembl:lncRNA